UUAUUUACCUGGCAGGGGAAAUACCAUGAUCAUGAAGGUUGUUUUCUCAGGGCAAGGCUUACCCAUGGCAUUCUGGAUGUGUUGACCCCUGCAGUUUCCCCAAAUAUGGAAACUCAACUGUAUAAUUUGUGGUAGUGGGAGACUGCAUUCACAUUCUCCCA